AAUACCCGAUAGUAUUAUAAUAAGGCAUUCUUGUUGUAAUUAAAGCUAUGGCGGAUAAGGAUGAGCGUGCGCAAGAUUAGCUAGUUGGUGAGGUAACGGCUCACCAAGGCGACGAUCUUUAGCUGAUGUGAGAGCAUGAUCAGCCACACGGGCACUGAGACACGGGCCCGACUCCUACGGGAGGCAGCAGUGAGGAAUAUUGGUCAAUGGACGGAAGUCUGAACCAGCCAUGCCGCGUGAAGGAUGAAGGCGUUCUGCGUUAUAAACUUCUUUUAUUUAGAAAGAAACCACCGAUUUCUAUUGGUGUUGACGGUAUUAAAUGAAUAAGCACCGGCUAACUCCGUG
rnacentral:rRNA from 1 species